rnacentral:rRNA from 1 species
UACAGAGGGGGCAAGCGUUGUUCGGAAUUACUGGGCGUAAAGGGCGCGUAGGCGGCCUGUUAAGUCGAACGUGAAAUCCCCGGGCUCAACCCGGGAACUGCGUCCGAUACUGGCAGGCUUGAAUCCGGGAGAGGGAUGCGGAAUUCCAGGUGUAGCGGUGAAAUGCGUAGAGAUCAGGAGGAACACCCAUGGCGAAGGCAGCUCUCUGGGCCGGACCCUGACGCUGAGGCGCGAAGCGUGGGGAGCGAACGGGA